rnacentral:rRNA from 1 species
GUGCCAGCAGCCGCGGUAAUACGUAGGUGGCAAGCGUUGUCCGGAUUUAUUGGGUUUAAAGGGUGCGUAGGCGGUAAUUUAAGUCAGUGGUGAAAUACGUCAGCUUAACUGGCGAGGUGCCAUUGAUACUGGGUUACUUGAGUACUGAUGAGGUAGGCGGAAUGGACGGUGUAGCGGUGAAAUGCUUAGAUAUCGUCCAGAACACCGAUAGCGAAGGCAGCUUACUAAGGAGUAACUGACGCUGAGGCACGAAAGUGUGGGGAUCAAACAGGAUUAGAAACCCCGGUAGUCC